GCUAGAACAGGAGACGUGCACUCUGUGUGAGCCCGGCGGGCUGCGUCAGGAUGUGUCCUCAGGUCUGGGGACACCAUUCUGGCCACCACGCUCUGAGCACGUGUCUGUGCCCGGGCAGGCGAAGCCCUAGGAAGUCCUUGGAGGGGAAGGCUUUAUUGGGAAGUGAGAAGAGGUGAGGUGGCCUUUUACGAAGAUCCCUCUGGCCCUCUGGCUGCUCCAGUGGAGGGGGCUGCGUGACGUGCGACAUGGCAAGAGGCCGAAUGCAGAAGUGAACAUAUGACUUUGGCUCUUGUUUUCUGAUCCAGACUAACAGGUUUGCAAGGCGCCCAAAGUGGGCCCAGCGGCCCUGGACAAGGAGAAAUUGCAGGCAGGAGACCAUCGCAGGGAGAUGGAGACUGCGGCGGCCUCGACCGAGUUGACAUUACCCCGUAGUAACACAGGGGGGCGCCCUUGCCAAUCAGCAGAUCCGUCCAGCUGAACGCCGAGAUUACCAACGGGAG